rnacentral:rRNA from 1 species
CCCUUGAAGACUACAAGGUAGAUAGGAGUGAGGUGUAAGCAUGGUAACAUGUUCAGCUGACACUUACUAAUCGGUCGAGGGCUUUUCCAG